UGUCGAUAACGUAAAAGUUAACUCAAAUUUGUAUGGCGUUGCAAUGUUUGCCUACGUUUGCCAUUAGGGGCGCUGUUCCAACUGCAUACAAAUUCAAAAUUAACUUUUACGCUAUCGA
rnacentral:pre_miRNA from 9 species